AUGGAGAGUUUGAUCCUGGCUCAGGACGAACGCUGGCGGCGUGCUUAACACAUGCAAGUCGAACGAUGAAGUUCCUUCGGGAAUGGAUUAGUGGCGAACGGGUGAGGAACACGUGAGAAACCUGCCCAUCAUUCUGGGAUAACACCGGGAAACCGGUGCUAAUACUGGAUACUCCAUCGCGGCGGCAUCGCUGCGCUGGGAAAGAAUUUCGAUGAUGGAUGGUCUCGCGGCCUAUCAGCUUGUUGGUGAGGUAAUGGCUCACCAAGGCGACGACGGGUAGCCGGCCUGAGAGGGCGACCGGCCACACUGGGACUGAGACACGGCCCAGACUCCUACGGGAGGCAGCAGUGG
rnacentral:rRNA from 1 species